UACAGAGGUCUCAAGCGUUGUUCGGAUUCAUUUGGGCGUAAAGGGUGCGUAGGCGGCGCGGUAAGUCGGGUGUGAAAUCUUGGGAGCUUAACUCCGAAACUGCAUUCGAUACUGCCGUGCUUUGAGGACUGGAGAGGAGACUGGAAUUUACGGUGUAGCGGGUGAAAUGCGUAGAGUAAUCGUAAGGAAAGACCAGUGGC
rnacentral:rRNA from 1 species